CUGCCCUCGAGGGGAGGCCUCCAGAUCCCUCCUCCCAUUGCCUGCCCUCCUCGCGAUCCUCCCGACGUCCUCGCGCCGCCGUCCUCUUCUUCUCUGCGACUCCUCUGUGCCCCACGCCCUGACCGACGUCGGCGAGUCCUCGGCACUCCGCGUGCGCCUCGCAUCCAACGCCAGGGAGGAUCGAAUGACUCCGCCCGCGUCGUCGCCUCCGACGCCGGCCUCUCCUUCACCACCGCCCCUGCCGGCAGGGUCCCCCAAGUCACGGCCUUCCUCGCCUGGGUGUACGUCGCCAACCGGCCAUAUGGCAGGACGCGCAGACCCGGGCGAUCCUCUCCGGCCUCCUUGAGAAGAGCACCGACAAUCUCCCCAAAGAGAUCUCAGUGGACCACAAGCUGAGGGACCUCGGAUGCACGUAAUUUUUUGGUUCUCCACUGAAGUAUUGAAGGCAUUAUGACAACAUGUGUACCAACUUGUUGAUUAAAAAUGAUUGCAUUUCAAAAUUUCAAUGAACUUCUCACUGGACAUUUUGACGCAUUGGCUUGAAUCUGCAUGUUGCAUCAUUUGUGCACAGUGAAAACUGUAUGAACCUGCAUUGGAUGGUGUAUUUGUAGGAAGGUUAUCCUUUCUUCAAGGACUGGAAGUUUCCUGGUAAGUGUUCCUUUUCUGAAAAACUCUGUGUUUGUCCACUGUAAUAUUUUGUUUACAUCAGGUUUCUCUUUCCUUUUGUGGGCGUAAUGUCGAGACAAUAAUAUUCAGAAAGUUGUUGUUUUAGGGAAACUGCUAACUCCAUAUGCUAGACCCAUAUCAUUGUUCAGCAUGCAUAGUGUUCCUAUGUCAUUUCUAUGAUGUAUUUGUUUCCUUUUAUAACACAAUAGUCUUCAUUUUGGCCAUGUACCUUCAAACUGAACCAAAAAUGGUUUGUCUGAUGACAUGUUUGAGGAGAUUCUUGAUAUGAAACAGUAGAUAUGAGGGUGACCGUUUUUUUGCAAGUUUUGCCUGUGGAAUCUUUCUGCAGUUGAUAAGAAAUGGGCUGGACUUACUUCCGUCUGCAAUAUUUUUGGUAAAGUGAUUCAAGGUAUGUUCGAUUGCUUACUUAGGAUGGUUACUGAAGCUCUUUGGGAACCAAGAAAGACAUUCUGUAUGUACAAAUAACAUAGGCCUAAAGUUCGUUUUACAUUGAAAAUCUAUAUAUGAAAUUUUCUGUAACGAUCGAAAAUUCAUUCAUUCACUUUGUGAGAUGUCACACAACACCAUGCUCCAAAUUGUUGUCUAUUUGAUCCUUGUGGCAGAAUCAUAGUCUCGUGCAUAAUUGCAUAUAUACUGUGACUGGGCACCAGUACACUUGCAACAUUCUAAAAGGUAGUUUGUUAUGAUUUUUUUACCAAAACUUUUCUUCUACAGUUUAUAUGCAUGCAGAGGAUCUUCAACUGGUUUCAUCAUUUAUCUAGGCUAUGCAAGGUUGCAUAAUCAUGGAUGGUCAUUGUUAGAUUGGCCUGAUUCUAGAUUUGGGGCACGGAAUGAUGGUCAUGGGAAUACCCAAAGGUAUAUAUGUAUAUAAUUACCUACACCUACAUGUUUAUUUCCCUGUUGUGGUUAGUCUUUGGAUUUCUAGACACUUAUUUUUUCUCUUGGGCACCAUAAAUAUGUAGGACUCGUCAGUAUUGUAAAAAAAAUGCAAAUUAAGCCCUCUGCUAUGCUCUUAGCUGCAGUUAACAGAUAGCGAAUCUUCUCAGAAAUUUUCCAUAUUUGAUGUUCGAAAGAAAACUGAUCCUUGGCUAUAUGCACGUUGGAUCCUCGAUUCUUCAUUACUCUUUAUUAGCCACAAGCAAGUCUUGUGCUCUUUUUACAGUCAGUACUACUACCACCACAAAAGGCUCCUCCCAGUAGUAUAGCAGCUAAACCAUCGAAGGCAGUAUUAGUGCAUGUUUUGGAUACAGUCAAAUGGAUAAUCUGAUAAGAAUAUUCUUUAUCUGUUAACAACAGGCAGUUUCGGCAUUGACUUUUGCAGGUGGGCCGAGGCUGGGCUAUGGGAUUUGUUUUCCAAACAAUUCCAAAAGGGCUAAAGUCUCAUUCAAAAGUUUGGGCUUUCCGCUGGAAGCAUUCAAUGAUUUUACUAAAAAAAAACUUAAUGCCGCUAGACACGACCGUUGGCUGUAGAUUUUUAAUUUUUUUUAGUAAUGUUGCUGCUGAAACCUUGAUUUUUUUUUGUAGUUUCAUCGUGGGACAACUGGAUUUUAGAUGAACUCGGACACAUCUCUGUUCCUAGAAUGUUGCCAUCUUGCUAUAUGCAAAAUAAACUAUUGUAAUUUAUAAUAUUGAAAUUUGUGCAGUGGUUGUUCACGACCAAAUUUUGAUUAAAUGAUUUCUAUCUUCUAUCUCUCCUUUGCACAAUAAUGAAGAUGAUUUUGUCCAAUUAUUUUUGUUCAUUCAUCCUGGCUUAUUCUUCUUAUUGUCAUAUGAAGUUUAGAAUAUCAGAGUUCUACAUUUGCUGCCAACAUUUUACAAUUUAGCUUCAGUUAUUUAUUGGUGUGCAUUUUUUCCUGGAGAAAUUUGAAACCCGGUUUCUUCAGUUUUAGAUAUUUCUUCAGUUUCCACCCGUGCUCCACAUGAAGUACCAAUUUUCAGCGGGUAAAUUUUCGGUUAGCGAAACUUUUAGAUAAAACCCGGGAGUAAUGGCUUAUCAUGCUAGAAGUUUCAAGCCCGUCUCACAAUGUUUUUUCGUCAGUGUGUUUGGAAAAAUCUUGGAAUUAAUAGCUUAUCACACACUAGAAAUCUGGUUGUAACUAGCUCAAACACAAAGCCGUGUUAUAAAGCUUGUCGUAAGGAAAACCUGACAUGUAAUGGUUCCAAGAAGGCGAUACAUGAUUUAUUGUUGUGUUUCUGAAUGCUGGGUAUGCAGAAUGUGAGACUUCAAGACAUACAGAUAGUUAUGUACUUCCAAGAGCACCAGUAUGUGUUUGAAUCAAUAGAUCAAAGUUUCUUUACAUGCUGGCACUUCUACUUCCGAUGUUUCUGCAGGAUAUUGAUUUGUUGGUGAUGACUCUGAAUGUGAGGGUGCUAAGAAGUACAUGAUGGAUUGUGAAGUUCCCUCCAUUACAUGAAGAAGAAUGACAGUAAAGACUUACGUAUGGGCAGAGGCUACUUACCGAUUAUCACCUUGCAUAGGAUGGAAGAUGCACACUUGGAGAAGGUCCCGCCAGUCGAUCGCCUUUUGAAAUCGAGUUGUUGGUGGCCACCUCUUAACCAGAGGAAAAGAUCACCUUCAGCAAGUUGAAGCCAAACGUCUUGCUCUGCUUUUCAAGUAGCAGCUUACAGCUUACGUUCAUGCGGCCAUGUUGCCUCCUCUCAAUUAUCUGCACUCUGCAGACAGGCUAUCCACCGUAAAUUCACGAUUAUAGUUUACCUUCAUAUCUGCUUAUUUAAAGUACAAAAGGUUUGUGUCUUGAUGUGUUGAUAAAUGCGAAAAUAGUUCAUGAUAUAGACUUUGAAAAUUUGUGUCUUUGUAAUAUCGUAACUCGAUUGCAGUUCUUGAUGGUUGUCUAAUUUUCUUGUAUCUUUUGAAGAAUGUUAACCUAAGAAAAUUAGACAAAUCAGUUGUACAUAACUUCGCAAAUUUAGUAUGUCGGCCGCGUUUCUAACUUUAUAAUAGCAGAGAUCAUAAGCCAUGUGAAAAGUCGUUUUAAUAGGAGGCCGAGUCACAUGCAAGUGCAUGUAGAAGUUCACUCUUAUUUUUAUUAGAGAUAAUUUGCACAGUGCUUACCAUAAUUGUGUUAGUUGCACACUCACUGUGGCCUUGUUAAAAUGAUUGUCUGCAUGACAACUUCCAUGCUAUAAAGCACUAAGACACACUUGAAGUAAUAUCUCAAGAAGAAGAAAGGUUAUAUUGUGGAAAGGGUGUUUAAAAUGUUGGUUUGUUGGACAAAUGGGCGGCAGAAUAUACAUCAUGGACCUACUUAGCAAAGUGAGCAAAUGUUGUUUUGUGAGUACGGAAUAAUGUCUCCAUGAGGUGAAUUUGAUCGUGAUUUACAUACUUUCUAUACUCUAUAAGGUUCAUGUAGGGAAAUAUUAAUGUAAGAGUGAUAGCUCAAGGUUGAACGAGUACAACAUUAAUGUAGUGUUGAAGCAACAUGCCUUCAAAGCAUCUAUCUUGGUCGCUACAAUUUUUUGCUGAUUGAUUCUAAAUUGGUAAGGUGGUUCAUAGUGUUAGACUGUCAGACACAAGCUAUGAUCAUUCAACUGCUCCAUUAUGCAAAAAACAAUGUAGUUAGAAAUAGUAGAGUGCUAAAUAUUUACAUUAUAAGGCUGAAUCAUCUCAUUUGCUAACUGAACCAGAUUUAUUGAGCAUCUGUUCGAUGGAAGCUCAUUUACCAUAAUGCUAAAUAUGUUUUUGAAGCAUUGCGGAGGGCUGGUGUAAGAACAAUUGUAUUGUCCAACUUAAGAACCCAUCUCCGGACACUUUUAGAGGCCCUGAAAUGAGAUCACUUGUUUAAUGUAGUCGUUGUAUCUGCUGAGGUGGCUACAGAUUUAUAGAGGAGUAGCCUAAACUAAGCAUGUUAGGUGAACCUUCACCAUGUAUCUAAUGUCCUUUGUAUGCAGGUUCUACCUUCGGUUUUCUAUUAAUAUUCACCAUAAAUUCAGUUCUCUGCUUUCUCUGCUAGCAGAUUGCAGCAAAAAACUCAAAUCCAACAAUAUUCUUGGAAGCUUGUGAGUUGUUGGGCGGGAAGCCUGAAGAGAUUGUACUCAGUCUAAGAUGACUAAUUUAUAUGAGUAUUCUCGCUAUUUGCCUAUUCCAGUCACCAUUACUUGUAGUGUUUGGAGUGUGCUUGUGCCCUACUCUUGACAGAAGUUAAAAUGAGAUACUAUGUAUGAUACAAAAAUAAAGUCAUCCCAAUGAUUUUUAUACUGACAUGGUGUCCCGAGCACCCUAUGGUGGAGCAUCACUCUCCAUCAUGCUGACAACUUAGAUAUAUGGGUUGAAAUAAAAAAUAGAGGGUGAUGUUGACUUAAACAAAAUUUAGGGGAAAAUCUUCAUGAGGGGGUCCCCUAUUCCUCUUGUAUCUCCUAACCCUGCCCAUGCGAUGCGCUCGACAUCCAUGCCUGUCCCCUAGAGAGUAGGAGAAAGGAUGAGUGGAGGAAGGGAGAGAUGGAGAUAUAUAUAUAGAGAGGGAAGGUUUACAUGACGAUUGUUGUCGACUCAAUCAAAUAUAGUAUAUGUAUUAUAGUCUGUAGCAACGUACGGGCGUUCUACUAGUGCAAUUAGAUGGGGCACUACCGAGAUAGAGGAAGCAACCUGAAGUCUUUAUCUCAAAUUAGUUACCAAAAGGAAUAAUCAAA